GACAGAGGUGGCUAGCGUUGUUCGGAUUCAUUGGGUGUAAAGGGUGCGUAGGCGGCCGAGAAAGUCAGAUGUGAAAGCCCACAGCUCAACUGUGGAAAUGCAUCUGAAACUUCUUGGCUAGAGUGCGAGAGAGGUGAAGGGAAUUCCCGGUGUAAGGGUGAAAUCUGCAGAGAUCGGGAGGAACACCAGUAGCGAAGGCGCUUCACUGGCUCGCAACUGACGCUGAGUGCACGAAGGCGUGGGGAGCAAACGGG
rnacentral:rRNA from 1 species